rnacentral:rRNA from 1 species
UGGGGAAUUUUGGACAAUGGGGGAAACCAUGAUCCAGCCAUCCCGCGUGUGCGAUGAAGGCCUUCGGGUUGUAAAGCACUUUUGGCAGGAAAGAAACGUCAUGGGUUAAUACCCCGUGAAACUGACGGUACCUGCAGAAUAAGCGCCGGCUAACUACGUGCCAGCAGCCGCGGUAAUACGUAGGGUGCAAGCGUUAAUCGGAAUUACUGGGCGUAAAGCGUGCGCAGGCGGUUCGGAAAGAAAGAUGUGAAAUCCCAGAGCUCAACUUUGGAACUGCAUUUUUAACUACCGGGCUAGAGUGUGUCAGAGGGAGGUGGAAUUCCGCGUGUAGCAGUGAAAUGCGUAGAUAUGCGGAGGAACACCGAUGGCGAAGGCAGCCUCCUGGGAUAACACUGACGCUCAUGCACGAAAGCGUGGGGAGCAAACAGG